rnacentral:lncRNA from 1 species
AAAUAAAUAAAAAACCCUCGCCCCUCUCAACCUGCAAUCGCCUUAGUCGCUGACUCCUUGCCAUGCUUUGGGGUCGAUGGCAGCCCAUCCUUAUCUUCUCCUAGCUUCUCUUUCCUUCCUUUCUUCCCUUGGACUUCCUUCUCAUCCCUUCUGCUCUACCGCCCAUUUUUCUUCUCUCUGCAUCUCAACACGUUUCGUUCCCCCAUCCCCCUUUUUUCCUCUCCCACCGUUUUGUGCAUUGCUAUCCCAUGGCUUCGGGUCUCUUUCCCAUUUGGGUUAUGCACUUCUCAAGGCCUCUUCUUGAACUAGGUUUGAUUCGGAUUUAGGAUUUGGAUUGGGACUGUUGGUGGGUUAGAGCCACUUCCGUCUAUUUGAUUCGGAGUUGUGAUACUAUCAUAGACGUUUUCUGUGGAUGCGCCGACAUCUGUUGCAGCACCCCUGCGUCGAGCAUACAUUGGUGUUGCACAGUCUUGGGCAUGUUAAGCUGGAGGUUGCACCACCUAGGCCGACUUAUUUUGCCACUCUGCCGCUUGCAGAUUUCAGAUCUGGAAUCUCCGGCCUGAGUUUCAAUGUUUGCAACUCUGUUGUGUCGUUUUGAAUCGUUGAUGGUGCAGACCCGUUUUGUGUCAUUGCAGGUGGCUUUUGAUAGUGUUUCCUAACCCUCCAUCGGAAUUAGCCGACAUGUGGUUCCGUUCUCGGAGUAGUUUGAUUUGGUUUGGUUUAGCUUAGUUUAGUUUUUUCGUCUCGCCUCGCAAGUGUUGUGGCCGCGCUGCAAUGAUGGCUGCAUAUGGUUUUCGGAUUGAGCAAUGUGUUAUGUGGUCUCGUUUACUUACGGUAAUUUUACGUGGGUUGCUUCUACAAUAACUUUAUGUGUUCUCGUUAUUCGACAGUGACCUUUUGUAGUUGCCGAUAUAAGUCUAUUAUAUCUAUCAUCUUGUGAUAGUUUUGUAUGGAUGACAUGUGAUCGUACAUCGUGGUAACCGUUUAGGAGUUUACUAUUAUUGUCUUAUUUGAAUAAAUUCACCUUCAAAUCAUUUUUUUGGUCAUCGGAGUAUUAUCAAUUGACACCUAUGUAUUGCGUGAAAUGAUUAAUGAAAUGCCAAUCUAU